UAUUUAAGGUGGUGGCUUGGGCCAUUUCAGGAAGUGACUCAGUUUUUUGUUUUUUUGUUUUUUUUGUCUUUCCCAUGUGUUUUUUGAUCUUUCCCAUACUCAGUCAUCUGUGACUCUUUGCAAUGAUUUGUACUGUAAGUCCACCGGAUUUUUCAGGCAAGAAUACUGGAGUGGAUUGCCAUUUCCUUUGCCAGGGGAUCUUCCCGACCCAGGGAUUGAACCUGCAUCUCUUGGUCUCCUACACUGCUGGCGAAUUCUUUACUGCUGAGCCAUCAGUGAAGCCACUUUCCCAUGUAUACAGCAGGAAAGGGAAAGAGAGGAACUCAUUCCUCUUUUUUUUCCUUUUCACUGCAACAGCAUCCAGUUUUCCUGUGCAUCUCCCAUGUAAAGAAGUACAAAUGAAGAAUCAAAGCUACUCCAUUUUGUAAGGUUCCGGGAAAAGAGCCUUUGGAAAUCCCCUGACCUCACCCCACCACCUGCAAACCAAUCAGAACCCUUGGCCAGCCAGGGAAAUUCGAGUCAAGCCCAGGAAAGGAGAACCAAUCAGAACUCAACACCUAACCCUUCACCAGAGGGUGACCAAUCAGACCCGGAGACUCCCGGUUUUUGAAUUUUUCGCACGAUAAUACCCUAUAUAAGCAAUGUAACCCAGAGCUCAGGGCUCCUCCCUAUAGCUGCUGCGUCGGUAUCGGUGGGAGCCCCAGCUCGAGCUUGGUAAUAAAAACUCUCUUGCUUUUGCAUCAGAUAUUGGCUCCCUGGUGGUCAUUGGGAGAUUUCGCAACUUGGG
rnacentral:lncRNA from 1 species